UUGAUAAACAUCAGUUGAUGUUGAUGACAGCUUCAUUUUUAAUGAUUUUGUGCUGUGCCUGUUUUCAUCUCAGUAAAAUUGAUACAAGUUAUUUAAAAAAAAAACUGUAUUUCACAAAUUCAAAUCUGACACUGAACUUUCUGAAGGGAUUAGCCAGUCAAAAGACGGAAAUCGAAGCAGCACAUGGAAUGCCCAUUAUGCCCUUGAACCAUGGGAAAUGAGCGGCAGAUGCAAGAGGGACUCUACGCUCAGACUUGCACGCACUGACCUGCACUUCCAGACCUAUUGUUUUCUCAGACAGUGCUACCUGCUGUUGGGUUGGCUGAAGCGGCAGGGAGAACAUGACGGAAAGAAGCAGAAGAUUUCUCAGCAUUGCCAUGAUGAACCUGAAAAUGAAUAAGAUGGAAGAGAUAAUGUGCGUGUUCACGAUCCACACACUGUUGAUUCUCAAAUUAUUUUAAAGAUAGCAUACAGCAGUACCUUGAGCAGAUUAUUCAGCAAGUUGCUGUAUCAACUCACCUUAGUGUUCAGAUGAUUGAAGAGUUAGUGAAGUUCCAGAAAGAGUCCUGCUUUUAUGCUGUUACGUGUGUAUGAGUCAUGAGGAUGAUGCAGGAUGUGACUUGUUAAAUUGUGGAUUUAUUCAAAUUUUUAUGAGAAUGUGGGGUUAAGUAUAUAUUUAUUUUAGUUUAAACUAUUUAGCUAGUUUAAAUAUGAUUCAAAAGAGACAUUUUUUCUUAUUAACAAAAUAUUUGAAGGACAACAAGGAAAUAAAGUACAUGCAUAAAGAUGA
ensembl:processed_transcript